AUUGAACGCUGGCGGCAGGCUUAACACAUGCAAGUCGAGCGGGGUGAUGGUGCUUGCACUAUCACUUAGCGGCGGACGGGUGAGUAAUGCUUAGGAAUCUGCCUAUUAGUGGGGGACAACAUCUCGAAAGGGAUGCUAAUACCGCAUACGUCCUACGGGAGAAAGCAGGGGAUCACUUGUGACCUUGCGCUAAUAGAUGAGCCUAAGUCGGAUUAGCUAGUUGGUGGGGUAAAGGCCUACCAAGGCGACGAUCUGUAGCUGGUCUGAGAGGACGACCAGCCACACUGGGACUGAGACACGGCCCAGACUCCUACGGGAGGCAGCAGUGGGGAAUUUUGGACAAUGGACGCAAGUCUGAUCCAGCCAUGCCGCGUGCGGGAAGAAGGCCUUCGGGUUGUAAACCGCUUUUGUCAGGGAAGAAAAGGCUCCUUCUAAUAUAGGGGGGCUCAUGACGGUACCUGAAGAAUAAGCACCGGCUAACUACGUGCCAGCCGCCGCAGUAA
rnacentral:rRNA from 1 species